UACGUAGGGUGCAAGCGUUGUCCGGAAUUAUUGGGCGUAAAGAGCUCGUAGGCGGUUUGUCGCGUCGAAUGUGAAAACCCGGGGCUCAACUCCGGGCCUGCAUUCGAUACGGACAGACUAGAGGUAGGUAGGGGAGAAUGGAAUUCCCGGUGUAGCGGUGAAAUGCGCAGAUAUCGGGAGGAACACCGGUGGCGAAGGCGGUUCUCUGGGCCUUACCUGACGCUGAGGAGCGAAAGCGUGGGGAGCGAACAGG
rnacentral:rRNA from 1 species